AGCUACAGAAUCAGGGGAAAGCUGUCCACUCUGGGAGGUCUGACAACCUCAGGGAACUCGCCUCCCAGUGAGCAGGACAGGUGGCAUAGUCGCCAGGAUUUGGGGCUUGCUUCUAGGGCACUUCACUCACUUCACAGCUUUUAUGAGACCUGUUCUACCCGCCAGUUAGAGAGCUGAGGAUACAACAAUGUGCAGAGGAGAUGACAGCCCGUGCCUUUGGGAAACAAUAAAUCUACUCAGGAAAAAAAUGUGGAUUACCCAAAUUGCACAAAUACGUGUAAGAAUCCCAACUAUGAUCAGUGACCUGGUGGGGUACAUGGUCCUGUGAGCAUGAUGACAGCAUAAAGCAGACCCAGCCAGAGGGUUUUCCGAGAGGCUUGGGACUCCCAGGGCUGCUUCCGCUCAUUCAGAGUUUGCUGAAAAGUUGCUUGCUCGGAGAGGACCUCUGGGACCCCUGAAGUCGCCCUGCCUCACCCCACCCCUCCUUACUUCCUGCCACUCACUCUGCACCCCUUGCCUGAAUUACCCUCCAUGUCUAUUUGCCCCCCUUUCCAAGAAACCAUAAGGUCCAAGAGAGAAAGAACUUUGUCACUCUUUUGUUCUAGAACAGUGCUUAGCACAUAGUAGGCACUCAGCAGGUAUGUGUUGCAUGAAUGCCUGAUUGUGCUGCUUUCUAAAUGUCCUCUUGGGUGGUAGUCAGAGGGAGUGCAAGAGGACUGGGACCCUAGAUGGGGGGAACAUUCGGCAGUGGGUGGGCGUCACGGCCCCACAGGAGAUAGCUGGAGCAGAAGGGUGGAUGUGGUGGGCACGUGAGGAAUGCUGGGCUGACAGGGAGCUAGUCAGAUUCGCCUGGGAAGAGACCACUAAGGCGGCAGACCAGAGUGCACCAGGAUGGACCAGAUGGGCACAGCUGCCCAUUGGAAAGCCACUGCAGAGUGGAGGGAGAGGCCAGCCUGGCCUACAGGAUACAAACCAAGAGGUUCAAGAUCCGGGUUGGUUCUCGGCUCUGCUGGCUACUGUGUGAUAUCAGGCAAGACACCUAACCUCUCCAGACGUCAGUGUUUCCAUCUGCAGAAUGGAGAGUUCUGCAGUGUUGGCAUGGAUUAAAUGUGAGACUCCAAGUGAAGUGAGAUCAGGAAACUGAGGCACAGAGACAGUAAGAGAUCUGGCCACUGUAAUAGCUACUGGAGCUGCAACUCACACUCAAUUCUGGGUGUAGAAUCCAUCACCUAACCACUGUAUAUAGUCAGCAGUCAAGAAAGUUUCUUUAUUCUGAUUAUUUUAAUCCUACCCUGCAACCAAAAGGCUUUGACACCACCCCGUAGCCACUGCUAUUGCUGAAGCUGGAAGGAAGGGCUUCCCAGGUGGCCCGUUCCUUGCCUGACAGACUCAGAAAUCCAGAUACCCCAGAACUACUGACAACUGAGGCUGAUAAUUCUUUACUGUGGAGGUGUCCUGUGGAUUAUAGCAUCCCUGGCCUCCACCCGCUGGGGGGGCACACACACAUCAAGAGUGACAACCAAAAUGUGUCUGCAGACAUUGCCAAAGGUCCCCAGGAGAUACAGCUGCCCCCCCCCCCACUUGAGAACCACUGCACGAGCCCAGCUUCAGGCACAGCGUGGCUAUCUUGGGGCAGCAGAAGAGGGCCUGGGCCCUCAGUGCCCAUAUCAGAGGCAGGUGCCUAGGAUUGUUCUCUGCACCCAACACCAAAAAAAGAAUCCCCUCAAAUUAAACCAAGUACCAUCAGAGUACUGGAUGAUGCAAAGAUGGGAAUGCACAAAUGGCAUGCACCCCUCUGUUUCAGUCAGCUUUUCACCACCUGAUUUAUAAUACCCGAGAGGAUCUCCUAUUUUGGCUAAGGCUUUGGAGGUUCACAGUUCAAGAUUGGAUGGCCCCAAUAGUAAGGCAGCUGCCAGGAGCGAGGGAACCUGUGCAGGAACAAUCCUGCAGCAAGCCAGGAGGCAGAGGGAGAAGUUCAGUUGAACUCGGCAUACACAGCCAGUCCUCCAAUAACAGGGCAGACCCCAGGGACCUAAGGACCUCACACCAGCACCCCCCUCCCCUGCCAGACACCAUAAUUAGAUCAUGUCUCCACCCUCAAUCCAUCAACCAUUGACAGAAGGCUUUGGGGUUUGAAUGCGUCUGUGAGUUCAGGGAACCAAUUGCUGUUCAACCCUAACAACCUCCUUAAGUUCACAACAACAGUGUGGGCUUUCAGUCACUGCCAGCCAGACAGGAGACACGAUGAGGUGGGCACAGGGCUGCUCCUGGAGCCUUCAAAUCUUCCAAUCGGCUGUCACCGGCUCCCCCACAGGCCGGUCUCAAGCCACCCAUCAGCUAAGCUAAUCAAGUGCAGAGAGAAAUGGCGAGAGACUCAUCAAGAGACUUUCCAGGCUGAGUUUCCCUACUGGGGACUUCCCUGGGGUGCUUCACAGGACUUGGGCGGGAUGGGACCACAGUUCUCUAUCUACCAAGGGAACAGAUCUGCCUCCCCCCCUCACCCCUUCCCCUCAUUCCAGUCACCCCAUCCCUGCACCAACUGACUGCUCCAAGUUCAGGAUCAUAUGAUUUGUGGUGGCAAAUCCACCUCUUCCACAUGUUCUCUGUUCCCACUGGCCAUAGCUGAAGAAGCAAACUUAACCACAAACCUCCCAUCUGUGAAGCCCUUCCAAACUCUCAAAGUCCCAAGAUCACCCAAGAAUAAGAGGAGUACGAAGGCGGAAAAACAAUCACAAAUACUAAAUAAGUAAAUGUCCAUAGAACUUGAAUGACCUCUAAAUGUUGUGUCUGAAUUUUAGGUCUGUUCUCCAUUCGCAAUGCCUUCUCAGUAUACAAUUACAUUUUAAAUAGAUAAUCCUCUGUAGAACAGUUCUUAUGUAAACAGCCAGUAAUUUUGAUGUAUUAGAAUUAAAAGAAAUUUCCUAAGGCCAAAUUCUGCCAUAUUUUAAGAAAUGUGCCUUGGUUAUUCCAGGAAUAAUUUUGCUUCAGGGACCCAAUUAAAGUUAUCAAAACUGUAGUUUCUUCUGGAUGCUAAAGAUGCAAUAUAUUUCACACAUGCUUCUACAGGUUAUUAUUUUCAGGGAUUGCAUUUUACAGAUUUAAAAAAAAAAAUCUUCAACCGAGGGGAAGAGUUUCAGAAGAUCACAUAAUUCUAAGCUGCAAACAAGAAGCACAAAGCUCUGCAAUCAUGAAGCCUGCAGUGAAAGAGCGCGGGCUGCUCAGACAGUCGAAAUCGGUUUGCUGGCUGGGAUUUUCAAUGCUUUUAAGUUUAAGAUGCGCUAAGCACAGUUCAGGCGAGGCAUAAUCAAGAAAUGGUUGUUUGUUUCGGCUGCUGCAAAAUUACGGGGUGUCCCAUGUGGGCUGGCAUCUUGUGCAUUUGUACAUACAGCAAUUACCCUGCGAGAUUCCUGACGCUCCCUGCUUUCCCUGGGAAGAAAGGGAAAGAAUGACAGGGACAGCUGACAGCGGGCUUUCAAAUGUCUCAGUCCUCGCAGCCGCAACCGUUAAAAGUAUGGGCCAGGCAGAGCCGCCACAGAGUGGGAGAGGCAAGGGGAGGGUGGGGUUACGUGACAAACGGAGCAGGCCAAUAAAAACAGUUCUGUUUGCGA